CGCCCCUGGUGGGACUUGUACCCACAAUCUUCGGUUCCAGAGGCCGACACCUUAACCAUUAGGCCACAGGAGC
rnacentral:tRNA from 13 species